AACGAACGCUGGCGGCAUGCCUAACACAUGCAAGUCGAACGAAGUCUUCGGACUUAGUGGCGCACGGGUGCGUAACGCGUGGGAAUCUGCCCUUGGGUACGGAAUAACUCAGAGAAAUUUGAGCUAAUACCGUAUGAUGACGUAAGUCCAAAGAUUUAUCGCCCAGGGAUGAGCCCGCGUAGGAUUAGGUAGUUGGUGAGGUAAAGGCUCACCAAGCCGACGAUCCUUAGCUGGUCUGAGAGGAUGAUCAGCCACACUGGGACUGAGACACGGCCCAGACUCCUACGGGAGGCAGCAGUGGGGAAUAUUGGACAAUGGGCGAAAGCCUGAUCCAGCAAUGCCGCGUGAGUGAUGAAGGCCUUAGGGUUGUAAAGCUCUUUUACCCGGGAAGAUAAUGACUGUACCGGGAGAAUAAGCCCCGGCUAACUCCGUGCCAGCAGCCGCCGUAA
rnacentral:rRNA from 1 species